rnacentral:lncRNA from 1 species
CUGAUGACAAAACUAUGAUGCUGAGAAGACAAUUCCCUCCUUCAAGACACUUAGUAAGAGGUUGCUCAUGGGAGAGCAAGCUGGCUGCGGGAGAUGCUGGGCACCCAUCCAUGGUAACAGAGACUGAGUUACAGAGCCACUGCAACGUCACCACUGAGUUUGAAUGAAGAAAGUCUCAAUUUGAGGUCUUCUCUGUGCAUAUUCACUAGCAAGC